AUUGAACGCUGGCGGCAGGCUUAACACAUGCAAGUCGAGCGGGGGAAGGUAGCUUGCUACCGGACCUAGCGGCGGACGGGUGAGUAAUGCUUAGGAAUCUGCCUAUUAGUGGGGGACAACAUCUCGAAAGGGAUGCUAAUACCGCAUACGUCCUACGGGAGAAAGCAGGGGAUCUUCGGACCUUGCGCUAAUAGAUGAGCCUAAGUCGGAUUAGCUAGUUGGUGGGGUAAAGGCCUACCAAGGCAACGAUCUGUAGCGGGUCUGAGAGGAUGAUCUGCCACACUGGGACUGAGACACGGCCCAGACUCCUACGGGAGGCAGCAGUGGGGAAUAUUGGACAAUGGGGGGAACCCUGAUCCAGCCAUGCCGCGUGUGUGAAGAAGGCCUUAUGGUUGUAAAGCACUUUAGGCGAGGAGGAGGCUACUUUAGUUAAUACCUAGAGAUAGUGGACGUUACUCGCAGAAUAAGCACCGGCUAACUCUGUGCCAGCCGCCGCCGUAA
rnacentral:rRNA from 1 species